UCCUUAGUAAACGGUGAGUGAAACGGAAAGAGCUCAGCGUCGAAACCGUGUUGGCCCUGUCGACACUGUAUUGUGACGUAUAGAGGCGGUCAUGUGCGUUUGGCUGGUUGUACGAAAUCCCUUUGACUAGGGUUCCAAAGCGGGUGCGAGACCCGUACGUGCAGCCGGUCGUUCGUACGCGGCUACCUCUUGGAGUAGGGUUGUUUGAGAUCGCAGCCCAAAGCAGGUGGUAUACUUCAUCUAAAGCUAAAUACGACUACGAAUCCGAUAGCAAACAAGUACCGUGAGGGAAAGUUGCAAAGUACUUUGAAGAGAGAGUUCAAGAGGACGUGAAACCGAUAGGAUGGAAGCAGAUGAAGUUGACGAACGAGUGUCGUAUUCAGGGCCGCGUCUUGUGCGCGGUCUGUUCUUGCGACCGACGUGGGCCGGCGGUCUUGGUCAAUGCACUGUGUCUAGCGUCGAUGGAGACCCUGCGGAGGGAUCAUCAGUCGGCGUACGAUGCGUGGUAUGGCUAAGGUUCUGUCGCCGGUCUUGAAGUCAGCGCCUCAUUUGACCCGUCUUGAAACACGGACCAAGGAGUGUAGCGUUUACGCGAGUCUUAGAGUGUAUCAAAACUUUGAGGCGCAACGAAAGUAAAGGUGACGUCAAGUUGCUGACUUGGGAUGCGCUGUCUCCUGUGGACGGCGCUGGACCAUGGUUAUAUCGCGAUCGCUUGCGAUGCGGUGUAAAUAGAGCGAAACGUCCCCC
rnacentral:rRNA from 1 species